rnacentral:lncRNA from 1 species
GGGGCGGCGGGGGGCCCGUGGGUAGGAAGAGCGUUUUUUGGGGGGGGGAGUAAGGGGAGGCUCCGGUCCCCAAAGAACCCCCACCCCCACCCCGAACGCACUGCCUGCUCGUUUCCCGCUCUCGAUCUCCCUGCGCGCCGGCUCCCAGGGUUCUGCGAGUCGGUGGCUGCCCCCGGUGUGUCCUGGGCUGCGUACCGGCCCUGCCCUCAGGGGACCCCCAGUUAGUCCUGCCGCAGACAGACGCCAUCAACCAACAUCCCAACACCGGAAACACUUGAGAGGGAGAGGACUCAUUGUCCUGGAAAUCUGGAGCCACAUAUAAUUCCUACACCUGCCCUGGACUCUGGGUUUCUUGGCAACCAAGGUAAAAAGCCAUCUCAUGAGCGCUUACGCAGCCCCUGUUUGUUUCCUCAUCAGAGGAAGUGUGGCAAAGACAAGGUUCUUUUUGGCCCUAAAUUCGAAUCCUUUUCCUUCUGGGUCUUUAAGUAAAGGGACGGGAAACAUGACGAGCAAUGCAUUUGCUUCUAUUUUGCGGAAGAUGGGAUGGUCCUAAGGAGGUUCCAUUUGAGGGACUGGGGACGGGGAGGCCCCCCCCCAUCUGGUCCCCGGUCCAGGGCUCCAUGAUCCACCCCUAGGGUUCUGCUCCAAGCAGGAGGCCAUUCAUUGUGUCCUGUUGUGACAGCCCAGCUUUCUCUCCUCUCAGAGGAGCAGAACAAAUGGUCACCCUGCCCCCGUAACGAAUCAUUCGCUGUUUGUUUGAAAGAUGACUCUUGGCACACGUGAACUGUUUCUCUCCCCAAGUCAGAAAGCAAAUGGCUUUGACACUGCCCAGCCUCUGCAGGACAGGGCUGCUGUGGUUCUUGCACCUGGGUGGUUUCCUGAGGGCAGCAGCUGCCCUGGCUUCUGCCCACCCCUCCAGGCGCAUCCUGGCCCUGCAGCCCUCACCUGGAGGUGGCGGCCCCCGGGCCUUUGCACGGCUCCUAGAACCCAACUAAGCACCUCCCCCUCCCUCCUCUCAGCUUUGCCUCCCUCUCCUGUCCUUCGGGUCUCAGCUGAGAUGCCACCCCCUUUAUGACACUUAUCCUGCUUCAUGCUCCUGUCUUUCUCUGUUAAAGGGCGGUUUUCUCUCCACCCGCUAGCCCAUACGCUCCCUGAGGGCAGGGGCUGUGUCUGCAUACCUUUGGUGCUCAUUAAAUCCUGUUGAGUGUAUGAAGGGUGAAAGCCGUGUCUUUGGCACCUGGCCGUGCAGCAUGUGAGAAGAGCUCAGCUUUGAGGCAGAGCCAUGCCCAGCAUCAGGGCCUCUACUGAGAUGGGCAUUCCCACCCCACCACCCCCGACAUGAUGCCUGGCUGGAGACCGCCUCUCAAGGAGACGGCAGAGCUGGUACCCUGUAUGGCCCCGGGCACUGCCCUCUGCCAUCCUAGGAGGUGGCCAAAAGCUGCCGUCUCCAUUCCCAGACCCACUCACCCAGUCCCUUCUCUGCUACGCUGGUGUCUCUCCUCGCUGACAAAAAAAUUCCAUCCCUUCCAGUGUGCUCCCCAGAACGAGAGCUUCCAAAUGAUGCCACGUACACAAACUGGAGGGCCCCUGGGUUCUCCCCGCCCUCAGUGGACAUCCCUCUCCUGACUCCCACACCCUUGAACCUGUGCCCCCCCCCCAAAGCUUGGCUCCUCCACGUUCCUAUCUUAGGUCAGGUGGUGACCAGGGAGUGACCGGAAGUCCCUGACUGGUCCCAUGACCCCUGUGAUGCUUCAGGAUGCAGCUCCCAGCUGCCCCCCACCUUUGCACAUCUCCAGCUUUAAUCCCACUUCACACGCACAGCCAGCGUGAGGAAGGUGUGCCCUCCCCUCUGCGUGAACCCUGUUUCACGGCAGGGAAAGCAGAACCAGAGUGGAACCUGCCGGCCUCACGUGGACCAGCUGCUAGGCCAGGAAACACCCCCGGCAUGCCUGGGUCCUGAGUCCACACGUUCAUCACCACCCCCCAGCGCCCACCCAGCACAGUGGCAGGUGCUUGGUUAGUGUUACGGGCGAAACUGAGUCAUUCCCCCCCCACCCCCCGCCUGCCCCACCAAAAGCCACAAGCUGAAACCCUAACCCCUAGUGCUUCUGAAUGUGACUCUUUGGAGUCGGGGCCUCUGAAGAGGUGAUUCAGUUAGAGCAGGUCAUUAGAGGGGUCCCCAAUCCAGGGUGGCUGGGGUCCUUAGAAGAAGGGACAAGGACACAGACACACACAGAGGAAAGACUCUGUGAGGACACAGGGUGAGAAGGACCAUCUACAAGCCAAAGAGAGCAACGUCAGAAGGGACAGACACCUGCAUCUCCAACUUCUGGCUUCUAGAACAGAGGAGACAAGUUUCUAAGUCCCCAGGCUGUGGUUCUUUGUUACGCAGCUCUAGCUGACUAAUAGAGUUAGAGAGGGUGGGAGAGAGGUCUUCUGUGUGUGGCAGGGAAGGAAGCGGGUGAGGAGCCACGACGGCCCAGGGAGCUGGAGAACCUCAGCUUUGCCGGGACUCUCCAGGGACCAGAAGAAGGAUUAUCAGGGCAAAUUCAAAUAAAACCACCAUCAGUGCUCCAGUUGUGGCUCAGCAGGUUAUGAGCCCAACUAGUAUCCAUGAGGAUAUAAGUUCCAUCCUUGGCCUCGCUCAGUGGGUUAAGGAUGCCGUGACCUGUUGUAUAGGUCCCCGAUGUGGCUUGGAUCUGGCGUUGCUGUGGCUGCAGCGUAAGCCAGCAGCUGCAGCUCCAAUUCGGUCCCUAGCCUAGGAACGUUCAUAUGCUGUGAGUGCAGCCCUGAAAAAGAAAGAAAAGGAAAAAAAGCACCGUCAUUUUGUGUGUUUGUUUUGUGGCCCCACCCAUGGCACAUGGAAGGUCCUGGGCCAGGAAUGGAUUGAAUCCAAGCCACAGCUGCCACCUACCCUCCCGCUGCAGCCACCACGGGCUCCUUAACCCACUUUGCCACAGUGGGAACUCCCACCAUCCUUUACGUUCAUAUGAAAACAUAGUUCUUGAGCAGCUGUACUCUGCUUUGAAGACGAAAGCUCCUGCCCCACACAGACAAAAGCCCAGAAAACAGAAAAGCCCAUGAGGACCGGAGGUUGGGCAGGGGGCGUGCAUGAUGCUUGGCUGUCCCAAGAGCCAAAGAUAAGGGGAAGGGGAAACGCGAUUGUUAAAAAGAUUAAACGCAUCAGAACUCCUGCGGUCAAAAAAGACGAGGAGGAGGAGGAGGAGAAGCCACCACAGGACCGUGAAUCGCCUGUAAUUUUGUUUUGGCAAAAUGAAACUCUAACUGCUGAGGUUCUGGAAAAAUUGUCCCCAGACCCCCUGGGGGCAGCUGUGGCGCCUGAGACGGCCCUGGAUUUGGGGAUGUGCUGGUGUCCGGGAGAUGGGCUUUCCUCCUGUCGCUGGCCAUGCACUGAAGGGGGGUAACCUUUGCAUCCGCUGCCCGUCCCGCAGAAUGAAGGCGACUGUAACCGAUCUGCACGCUCUCCCCACCUUUGCCGGAGACAUUCCUCACUUCAAAGCCUGGUGGGGAGGCCCUGCUUUCUUCCCUCUCCAGAAGCUAAACUCUCACGUCUCCCUGCCAGCCUCCCCCAAAGCUGCGCUGCGGGCCUCUGACCAAGGCGAGGCCGCCUCACGUAACUGCCCCAGAUUUUGUAGAGGCAGCUGGGGAUGGAAAGCAUCAGAGUUGGAGGCGAAUCCAUUUUGUGAGCAGCUAGAAGCAGCAGCAGCAGCCGCCGCACAAAUGUGGAAUUUCUGGAGUCGACAUUGGAAGCAGAGCGGGCGGUGGUGUCCGGUGUCGCGUGGCCUGGUGCCAGGGGGCAGUGACUUCACCUGUCGGGUUUUGUGGCCUGAAUCUGGCUGUAGCCCCGGCUUUACACCAAAUGAGCCUGGUCUAACUCAGCUUUUAGGUUUGGUCUGCAGGCUAGUCCUAAUAAUUCUACGAGCUGCCCAAUACCAUUUCAAGAAAUUUCUUUCUGUUUCCAUCGGCCAGAGCAGGUUCCGCAACUAAGAGUCCUGACUGAUACUGGGAUGUCACAGAAUUGGUGGAGGGGUGGGCGGUCCCCUGGAGAUGGUGGACACUGAACCGGGGGCUUAAUUUGAUCCCAUCUGGAUGUAAUAUCUGAGCAUGACUUGAGUUGCCUCUGGUCAGGGGAAAGUUAAUAACUUGCAGUUGUAUGGGAGAGAGUUGAGUUGAAUUAAGAAAAACAAGUUUGUAUGUAAGAAACAAGAGGAUCUGGGUGUUUUGAGCAGCUCGGGGUUGGGGGGGCGUGGUAGGUACCUUUACCAAAUGAAGCCCAGCCCCCUCUUCUUUGAGAUCUCCAACUUUUAUGAACAUUUUGCAGGUUUCUUUCUUUCUUUUUUUUUUUUUAAGGGCCACACACUCAGCAUAUGGAAGUUCCCAGGCCAAGGACCGAAUCUGAGCCACAGCUGCAGCAAUGCCAGAUCCUUUAACCCACUGCCCAGGGCCGGGGAUCGAACCCGAGCCUCUGCGGUGACCCAAACUGCUGUAGUUGGUUUCUUAACCCACUGCACCACAGUGGGAACUCCUGGCAGUUUUUUUUUUUAAGCGCAGAUUUUACUUACGUCUUACUACUUUAAUUCCGAGCACUUUAUGUGUUUCAUUGUCAUUCUGAAUAGAAUAGUUUUUCCAUCAUGCUUUAUAAUUUGUCAUUGCUGAUGUAAAGGAAAGCAAAUAAAAUUUCACAUAUUUAUUAUUUACAAUCAUAUUUAUUGCCAUGAGAUUUUUAAUAGAAAUAUCAACUUAAAUGGAAACACAACAACUAGGGUGUAAUAUGGAGUAAUAGUUAAGGAGUUCCCAUUGUGGCUCAGUGGUCAUGAACCUGGUUAGUAUCCAUGAAGAGGUGGGUUCAAUCCCUGGCCUCGCUCAGUAGGUUAAGUGUCCAAUGUUGCUGUGAGCUGUGGUGUAGGUCGCAGAUGUGGCUCGGAUCCUGCUUUGCUGUGGCUAUGGUGUAGACUGGCAGCUUUAGCUCCGAUUUGAUUCCUGGGAACUUGCAUAUGCCCUGGGUUCAGCCCUAAAAAGCAAAAAAAACCAACCAAACAAACAAAAAAACAAAAAGAGGAAUGGUUAAGUGAAUACAUGACAGAUUCCCACUAUGGAAUAUCACGUAACUCUUUAAAUUUAAACUAUGUAGACUGUUGCCACAGAGGUAUUUGUUUUUUAAUAAAAUAAAAA